GAUGAACGCUAGCUACAGGCUUAACACAUGCAAGUCGAGGGGUAGCAGGGCCUAGCAAUAGGUUGCUGACGACCGGCGCACGGGUGAGUAACACGUAUCCAACCUACCUAUCAGUAAGGGAUAGCCCAUUGAAAGAUGGAUUAAUACCUUAUAAAGCAGGGAUCCCGCAUGGGAACAUUUGCUAAAGAUUAAUCGCUGAUAGAUGGGCAUGCGUUCCAUUAGUUAGUUGGUGAGGUAACGGCUCACCAAGACAUCGAUGGAUAGGGGUUCUGAGAGGAAGGUCCCCCACACUGGUACUGAGACACGGCCCAGACUCCUACGGGAGGCAGCAGUGGGGAAUAUUGCACAAUGGGCGCAAGCCUGAUGCAGCCAUGCCGCGUGUGUUAAGAAGGCCUUAGGGUUGUAAAGCACUUUCAGCGGGGAGGAAGGGUAUAGGCUUAAUACGUUUAUACAUUGACGUUACCCGCAGAAGAAGCACCGGCUAACUCCGUGCCAGCCGCCGCCGUAAUAC
rnacentral:rRNA from 1 species